CAAUAGCGUAUAUUAACGUUGUUGCAGUUAAAAAGCUCGUAGUUGGAUUUCUGGAGGGAGCGUCGGCCCGUAUUUACGAGUGCGUGACGUCUCUGUCCAUCCUUGCGGGAAGGCACGGCAUUGAUUUGUUGUGUCGGAUCGCAUCAUUUACUGUGAAAAAAUUAGAGUGUUCAAAGCAGGCUUUCGCUUGAAUACAUUAGCAUGGAAUAAUAAGAUAGGACUUUGGUGCUAUUUUGUUGGUUGAGCCUAAAGUAAUGAUUAAUAGGGAUAGCUGGGGGCACCUGUAUUGCGUUGUCAGAGGUGAAAUUCUUGGAUUUACGCAAGACAAACAGCUGCGAAAGCGUCUGCCAAGGAUGUUUUCAUUAA
rnacentral:rRNA from 1 species